UACUAACUCACGGAGUCUAGUCAGUCAGUCCAGUCAUUCCAGUCAGUCCAAGAAUCCAGUCCGGGUUUUUCUGCUGAUUUUUGAAUGAUUACUGGCGUCCGUGAACAGAUUUGCACGGCGAAUGUGGCAUGAUGAUCCGAAGGUGGAGUGUACAGGAUUGAUGUGCGGCUGGAAGUAUGAAGGAAACGAAGAAGUUCACAUUGAUGAUGCAUGCAG